GUUCCUUCGAGCAUCCGAUAAAAUUAGAACGAUAAGAAAAUAUUAGCAUGACCAUUGCGCAAAUAUGACAUAUACAAAUCAAAAAUAGUCUAAUUUUUU
rfam:Brassica napus, WGS project CCCW01000000 data, contig: 24176